rnacentral:lncRNA from 1 species
GAGGAGGGCGGCGCAGAUAGAGAGUGAGGACGGCGGAAUCGCGGGUUUCGGAAGAGGGCGGCGCGGAUGGAGGAUGAGGAAGGAGGAAUCCUAGGGUUUCAGAGAGUGAGAGAGGCGGAGAGGCCGAGAGAACUUGAGAGAGAGAGAGGCGGAUAGGCCGAGAGAGUAGGAAUCAUAAAAGGUUUUUUUAUUGUUUCUUAUUUAUAGUGUAAUUAAGGUUAAAUUAAUUAGUGUAUUUUAAAGGCUAAUUCUUUCCUUAUUUGGAAAUGAGUCUUUAUUAUUGGGACACCCCAAUAAGGAAAGUAGGUCUUCAAUAAUGGAACGGAGGGAGUACUAUAUAUAUAUNUUUUUUAUUUUUGUAUAUUUUCUUUGAGUUUUUUUUUUAUAUAUAUAUAUUUGCAGAUCUGUCAGCUUAAUU